rnacentral:rRNA from 1 species
CCUACGGGAGGCAGCAGUGGGGAAUAUUGCACAAUGGGGGAAACCCUGAUGCAGCGACGCCGCGUGAGCGAUGAAGUAUUUCGGUAUGUAAAGCUCUAUCAGCAGGGAAGAAAAUAACGGUACCUGACUAAGAAGCCCCGGCUAACUACGUGCCAGCAGCCGCGGUAAUACGUAGGGGGCAAGCGUUAUCCGGAUUUACUGGGUGAAAAGGGAGCGUAGACGGUCCUGCAAGCCAGAUGUGAAAGCCCGGGGCCCAACCCCGGGACUGCAUUUGGAACUGUAAGGCUAGAGGGUCGGAGAGGCAGGCGGAAUUCCUAGUGUAGCGGUGAAAUGCGUAGAUAUUAGGAGGAACACCAGUGGCGAAGGCGGCCUGCUGGACGAUGACUGACGUUGAGGCUCGAAAGCGUGGGGAGCAAACAGGAUUAGAUACCCGUGUAGUC